UACGAGGGGGGCAAGCGUUGUUCGGAAUUACUGGGCGUAAAGGGCGCGUAGGCGGUUAUAUAAGUUUUGUGUGAAAUGCCCGGGCUUAACCUGGGAUCUGCACAAGAUACUGUAUGGCUAGAGUAGAGUAGAGGGAAGUGGAAUUUCCGGUGUAGCGGUGAAAUGCGUAGAUAUCGGAAGGAACACCAGUGGCGAAGGCGGCUUUCUGGACUCAUACUGACGCUGAGGCGCGAAAGCGUGGGGAGCAAACAGG
rnacentral:rRNA from 1 species